AGCCAUUCUUAGCAGGGAGGGAGUUAACGUCUGUGCUGUGGCUUGGAGGUGGCAGAGGAGAGUGCACACUUCACUUGGAACUCGCUGCAGGAGACUGAGCCAGUUAGAGGCACCAAGGCAUUCUGAGUCCCCAGGGAUCCAGCAAAUGGGAGACAAAUGUCAGGGUGACAAGCAGGUAUGAUGCCUGCCCACACUGAGGCGCAAGCCGGACACAGGCUUCCCCUCCAGCACCAGCUACACACGUGACAACUGAUGGCAGCAGGUGGAGCAAGUCUGGACCCAGCCUUCAUACAAGGUCUCACUCUGUCGUCCAGGCUGGAGUGCAGUGGCAUGUGAUCACAGAGCAAUGUAACCUCAAACUCCUGGGUUCAAUCGAUCCUCCCAUCCCAGCCUCCCAAGUAGCUGGGACUACAGGGAUGCACCACCAUGCCUGGCUAAUUUUUAAAUGUUUUGUAGAGACAUGGGGCAGGCGGCGUGGGGCUGGUCUCCAACUCUUGGCAUCAAGUGACCCUCCAGACUCUGCCUCCCAAAGUGCUGGGAUUAUAGACUUGAGCCACUGCAGCCAGCCUGGCCCACAUAUCUGGUGUCUGUUUGGGACUGUCUCCAGCCUCUCUCCACUUUCCGGCCUGUACUCCAGACUGUGGACAUUAUACAACUUGAAAAACUUAAGUUGGUUGAAAAUCUCCAGCAGCUCCUCACUGCCUCCAGAAUGAAGUCCUCUGGGACAAGAGAAGGCCUUUUAUUGCUAGGCAGCUGCGUCCCUUGCUUGCCCUUCUCUGCCUAGUGGCCCAGGCCAUCCACUCUGUGCCCCGAAUACAUUGCAUGCCUUCAUGCCUUACUGUUCUAGACCUUGCCAGUCCUUCUGCCUGCAGUGGCCUUGGACUCACCACCUUCUUUCUCCAUCUGGCAAACAGCUAUCCUCCAAAGCCCAGUUCAGACAUCACUGCCUCUCCCUCUGCCUCCUGACCCAAAGCAGAAUUUAGUACCUCACUCACCUCACCGCACAUGGCACCUAGUAGACUGGUAUAUUAUACCACUUACUGUCAAUUAUAUUACCUUUUUUUUUUUUUGAGAUGGAGUCUCGCUGUAUAGCCCAGGCUGGAGUGCAGUGGCACAAUCUUAGCUCGCUGCAACCUCUGCCUCUGGGGUUCAAGCAAUUCUCCUGCCUCAGCCUCCUGAGUAGCUGGGACCACAGGCAUGUGCCACCAUGCCCAAUUAAUUUUAGUAAUUUUAGUAAGGAUGGGGUUUCACCAUGUUGGCCAGGCUGGUCUCGAACUCCUGACCUCAGGUGAUCCACCUGCCUCGGCCUCCCAAAAUGCUGGGAUUACAGACGUGAGCCACCACGCCCGGCCUAUAUUACAUUUUUCUAUGCAGCUGGAUCCUGUUUCCCAUUAGAUAGGGCAAGAGCAGAAAUCAUUUCUUACCAUCUCUGUUCCAGAGGCCCUAGUGUAGAGCAAAUGCUCUGUAAGUGUCUGUAGCACAAACAGAUGCAUUCAUGUGCAAAAUAACUCUGCUCACACAGCACCAGAACUGGCAAAGAUCCUAAAGAAAGAAUUCUACCAAUAUGUGGGUAAUUGGGCUAGCUGGCUUCGAAUUCCUUCAAUACACAUAUCCCCAACACAGUCACUUAACAAUGAAACAGUGAACUCAACCAUGUUCCACUGAAGGAUACAAACAGCAUUCUCCGAAAGGGGGCAAACAGCAAUGUGAAAUUUCCAUCACAGCACCUUUUGCUUUUCCCUCUAUUUUUUUUUUUUUUUUUUUGGAGACAGAGUCUCACUCUGUUACCAGGCUGGAGUGCAAUGGCAUGAUCUCGGCUCACUGCAACUUCCGACUCCCUGGUUCAAGCGAUUCUCCUGCCUCGGCUUCCCAAGUAGCUGGGACUACAGGCGCGUAUCACCAUGCCCAGCUAAUCUUUGUAUAUGUAGUAGAGACAGGGUUUCACCAUGUUGGCCAGGAUGGUCUCCAUCUCUUGACCUUGUGAUCCGCCUGCCUCAGCUCCCAAAGUGCUGGGAUUACAGGUGUGAGCCACCGCGCCCGGCUGCUUUUCCCUCUUUUAAACAGAGAAAGUUUUGUUUGGAAAGGGGAAACGGCACCCUUGCUAAAACUGUAACUUUCGACAUUGUCAUAGACUAUGUUGCAUUGCUGAAACAGAGUAUCACAGACUGGAUAAUUUAUGAACUAAUUUAUUUCUUACAGUUCUGAAGUCUGGGAAGUUCAAGAUCAAGGGGCCGGUGUCUGGUGAGGGCCUUUUUGCUGUGUCAUAACAUGGUGGAGGGCAUCACAUGGCAAGAGGGCAAGAGCGAGCCAGCUCAGGUCUCUCUUCCUCUUUUAAAGCCACCAGUCCCAUCAUGGGGGCCCCGCCCUGAUGACCAUAUCCAAUCCUAAUUACCUCUCGAAAGUCCUACCUCUAAUCAACACAUGAACUUGGGGAUUAAGUUUUUAACACGUGAAACAUAGGGGACCCAUUCUAAUCAUAGCAGACAUGAUUUAUGUUUUACUUUUCCAAUUAUAGGCAUCUUAAAGUACGGAGACCAUCUUUUAUAUUUCUCUGUAUUUUCCACAACAUUUAGCAUAGUCUUAUGUAUUCAGCAAGAACUCAAUUCAACAAAUAUUUAACACUUCAAUGAAUACAUAAAAAUGCAAAGGGCUGCACAUCUGUUAGUAAAAGUAACACAGAAUCUAGACAAAAGUAAACUGAAUGGUUUUUCUUCAUAAUGAAAAAAGUAUUUCUAAAAAAAGCAUUCAGCAGGCUCAGGCUUUUAACUCUUACCAACUUUUUCUGUAAAAUUAUGCUUUUCAAAUUUACCAAAAUGUUAUAUUAAAUAUUAAUAUAUUUUAGCAUGUAAUAGAUAUAUAAUACAUAUAUUUUUAUAAGCUUAGAAAGUACAAUAAAGGCAGAGGCAAUCUAGUUAGAAACUUUCCAAUCACAAACACUAGAAACAAUAUCCGUGUCUUUACUUAUUUAUAUUUAUGUAUUUGUUUUGAGAUAGAGUCUCGCUCUGUCACCCAGGCUAGAGUGCAGUGGUGCGGUCUCGACUUACUGCAACCUCUGCCUCCCAGGUUCAAGCGAUUCUCCUGCCUCAGCCUCCCAAGUUGCUGGGACUACAGAUGUUCACCACUACACCCAGCUUAUUUUUUGUGGAGACGGGUUUCACUAUAUUGGCCAGACUGGUCUCGAACUCCUGAACUCAAGUGAUCUGCCCGCCUUGGCCUCCCAAAGUGCUGGGAUUACAGGCGUGAGCCACCGCGCCCGACUAAUAUCCAUGUCUUUUAAACUACCUAGCAAGUUGCUUUUUGGCCAGACAAAACCUUAGUUGUUGAACUCCAGGGCACCUGUCUCUGAAACAUAUUACUGCUCAUUUUCAUCAUAACAGCAACUGGAAAGUAAUUCAUUUAAUUAAAUGUCCUUUUCUCUUCCCCCCUUCCUAAAAGAGACUACCUUGUAAAAAAUUUGAGGCAGAAACAAAC
rnacentral:lncRNA from 1 species